rnacentral:rRNA from 1 species
UACGGGGGGGGCAAGCGUUGUUCGGAAUUACUGGGCGUAAAGGGCUCGUAGGCGGCCAACUAAGUCAGACGUGAAAUCCCUCGGCUUAACCGGGGAACUGCAUCUGAUACUGGAUGGCUUGAGUUCGGGAGAGGGAUGCGGAAUUCCAGGUGUAGCGGUGAAAUGCGUAGAUAUCUGGAGGAACACCGGUGGCGAAGGCAGGUCUCUGGGCCACUACUGACGCUGAGAAGCGAAAGCAUGGGGAGCGAACAGG